UUCUUUCCAAAUUCGUCAAAUUCAAAUUUCCCGCCGCGCACUUAAGGGGACGGAGGCGGCCUUUGUCGGUCGGCCGCGGUUAUGUCGGGGCAUAACGAUAUGACGGGAGCAUAUUUUAUGCGCGAAGGAUCGGCAAGGAGGAGGAGGAUUCCUACGGGGCGAUGUAAAUCAGCGCCGGGUCCCAGUGAUGACAUCCGGUGACGCAAGGACCGAAGGGGGAGGAGGAGCCCCGGCUCGGAUCCGGUCCCCGCGGCCGCAUUAUUAUAUACGAGCGGAGCGGAGAGCGGACACCGCAUACCGUCCUAAUAUGCCGGCCUACCGUGUGCGCCUUUGUCAGUCGUCCCAGUGAGCCUUUGUCGUUGAGGAAAGCCGACUGACUGUAUAUUACGUCGCGAUGUAACGCGGCAGGAAUGUCUACUUGUCUUUGCUUCGGUUUCGCGGCGGCAGCGGCGGUGCCGGCGACCACGACGACCUUGGAGGAAGUUUGGCUGGCCCGGUCUCCGCGAUUCUUCGAGGAGUAACGAGGACUCGAAAUUUUCGCCAACAAGGAGAAGAGGAGGAGAGCGUUUUUAGCUUCAGAUUUCGAAGGGAAGGACAGUUGACGUUCGUCACGCGUGACGUUCCUCUACGAGCGUUUCUCUAGAAUCCCGGCUGGGUGGAAAGCGAGGGGGACGAAGGAAUUCUUCUCCGUUGUUUGCGUUUCAAAACGACGCGACAGCUGGAAUUAUAUCGCGCAACGCCCAAGAUUCCUUAUGUCACGUGUCUUCGGAAGAAAUUGAGAUAUUGGGACUGAUAACAGACUUGAUCAAGGAUUAAAAUUUCCAGUCGACAAAUCAAAAAAGAUGAUAAGAGGGAUAAGUUUACGUAAUGACGGCUUAAGCUCUUCUUCGUCGAUGAGAAGCGGAUAAUUAGACCCCGUAACGCGACGCCGUAAUCGUCGAAUGUAACUUUACACCUGCAAAAAGUUAAUAACAAGGGUGGCUCGCGAUGGUUGCGGCUAUGGAUCAAUAAAAUGCGUCGUAUUGGCGAAAAGUUAUAUUGUGUCGAGCCGAGAAGAGGAAAGAGGAACGAACGAACGGCGGUUACUCUCUUGCAGAAAGCAAAGCGUGAUACUCUCGGGCAUUAAAGGAGAUUUAUAUUGCACGAUUUUAUUGCUAUAGACCUUUGAAAAUCUUGUCCAUGCAAACGAGACAAGGUGUCGCAAAAACAUCGGAAUACAUUUGUCGCGAAUGAAAAUUUUAUCGGAUAAUAGAAGGCACAAGUUCAAGGGCAAUUAUCAUCCCCAAUCAUCCCCUGCUUACGUGGCAUCGCGAUAAAUCUUUUCGGAAGUCGCUGUUUCCGUGCGGAGGCCGGAAGCUUCGUGUCGACGGCCUGUCAAAACACGGGGGCUGCCGGGUCACGUGCAACCCCCGAGGUUCGCGCCCUUUUCUACAGUCAUAACUGCACCCCAUUGUACUUUUGUAUAUACAAGGCGCACGCGACUCGCAAAUAGCGCCGCUAUUAUUGUACGCUAUUUAUGCGGAGUUAUAAUCGAGGGGGUGGAUUGUCAUCGAAAAUUGUAUAUAUCUUCAAUAUGCCCUUUUAAUUGGAAAUCCGAAUUACGCUGGAGUUUAUUUAAAUUUUAAUCACUCGAUUGAAAUUAAUCAAAUCAAUAACUUUUAUCCCUUAGUUAAAAAUAUUAUUCAUUCUAUUUAAAAAAAAAAACAACACUUUUUUCCCAAUCGGUUUAGAAUAUUUCUUUACGUUUAAAAAGAUAACAAUGCUUUUAACUUUUGAUAUAACAUCCUUUUAAGAAAAAUUAAAAAAGAAAGAGGGGAAAUAAACGAUUAUCCACUAAUUUCCGAGCGUCUACGUACACAAUUUCAAUCCUUGCGAAUGGAACAACAACAAUCGAAAGCUUAUUUUCAAUCACUUUCCGAAACAUUGAAACAUUAAUGUCGGGAGCUUACCGCACACGAUGUUGAGUGUUCGAUUCUAAAAGCGGAGCACAUUUAUCCAACGCAGAUAGGAGGAGGAGGAGGGGGUCGGAGAGGCAGGAAGCUCUUGAUCCGUGUAAAGCUUUUCCGAAAAUUUGUGAAAGUCAGCCCCCGAGUUUCCGUCGUUUCAGCUGGUCCGGCUGCGACGCGUGCACGUCAUAGAUCAAUAAGUCUCGUUCUCAUUGUCGACUCGUCGUGGGCCGGCUUUACGGGUCUCCUCUCUCAGGAAACGUUAACGACAUCCGUGAAAGACGUAUCGAUCGUUACCUACCAAGAUAUCGUAAAUCACGAAAACCGACGGGGAACGUGGUACGUUUCCACGUGCACAGAGAACGGGGUACAGAGAGAUGUGUAUUUACUUGUGCGCAGAGGUAGAGAAAUAGUCGCGUCUAUUAAGAAUAAUAUAUUUUCCGCGAAAUAAAAUUUUUACCAACGCGGCUAAAGAGAUUUGUCCUACUCCUCGGGCAACACAAUUGUCAUUUCGAAUAUUUUGCAUUUCGUGUAUUCUAAAUUCAAAUUUUCCAUCAAUUCCAUCAUCGAUUUCCACUUGUUAAUAAACUUAUCACAGUUUUCAUAAUAAUUUUUAAUAUUUCACAUUGCCUUUUUAAUAAUACUUUAACGUAACUCAAUGAUAUCUAUCUUACUAUAAUAUACUCCAAGCAAGAUGGAUAAUCUUCCUCUUUUUACUAUUCACAAAAAUUGUUGCGAACGUGAUAACUUGUAUAACCUUCUUUUCAACAGUUAUCCCAGAAUAUCGUUCAAUGAAUCAAAAGAAAUAAUUAUUGCCCGCGUUCACUACUGACGUCCAGAAAAAGAAAGAAAAACUUCGUAAAAAUUUCAAAAUUGCAUCGAUAAUGGAGCGAGCCGAUGAAUUGAACAAGUUCAAAAAAGGAGGGGGAGGAAGGAGGGCGGGCAGGGACAAAAAUUGGAUCCGAAAAAAACCUCGCGCUCGUUAACUACGAUAAAACGAUCCGAUGGUGACAUCUGUGUCAAUAAGGCGAAUUCUCCCGGGGGUUCGAAGCGGAAGGGAGGUUCCACGAACGCGAUUAUCCUCAUUCAAUCAUCGAUUUUAUUUGGUUAAUAAAACGAUUAUCCCGGUUCUCGCACUCGACGAGAGAGAGUAUCGCCCUUUCCACCCCUCCACCCAGCCUCGUUCAAGCUCUCCCCCCUUCCCCUCCCCUCCUUUCCCCCAUUCCACCCCCACCCCCUUGUUCACCCUCUCCUAGGCCAGGUUGAAACUGUUGUACAGUGCACCCUCCGGGGGCGUUCGACCAAAAAUGUAAUUUACAUCCCUUUAUGUCGCGAGAUUGAAAUAUUUGCGAAUUAAUCCGCGCGACAGGAUUAUCGUCGGCCAUUAUACGCGGCCCGCCGUUUCUCAUUCACCUCCCUCGCCGAGGUUUCCAGCAGCCGUUUCUAACGAUUCUCCCUUUAUUCGAUUCAAAAAUAUCACCGUUACCCCAUUUUACGGAAGAUUGGAUUCAAUUAUCACCCCGAAACCUUUCCAUCCCGCGAGCCGCACGUCGAUCCUCCGAGGAUUGAGCCGCGAGGAUGAUCGCGUUUUCAAAGCGUUCUUGCGUAUAGCUUGAUUUUCUUCUAAUCUCUCGGGUAGAUAUUCUGUUCUUCAGCUUAUAUCGAUUCGAGUCUCUUUCUUUUUUCUUUUUUUCCCCUUUAAAAUCUUCGUGGGAUAUUUUACUGUGAAAAGUACUUAGCUUUUUUUCCCUUUUUCGCAAUUUGAUCCCGAUAAUUCGUUAUUUCUUUUACGAACGAGAAACUAUUGGACGAAGAAGUAUAUAGUAAUAGGAAUUUUAUCCGAAUAUAUAUAACAAAAUUUAUUUUUCGUCCAAAUUACUUUUCUAUAAUUUAAUGCGAUUAAUAAUUCAAUUAAAAUUCUAUUUUUACUUUAGGUGGAAAGAUUUAAAUAUCUAAAAACUCUUUUUCUUUAUUUAAAUAUUUUAAAAACUUUUCGAAACAUCGUGGAAGAAUCGUCGAAUCGCUGAAUUGUUCAACCGCACGCUCACCUUACCGCAUUGGUAAGGUCCAGUUCCGUGAUGUUAAUUUUAAUCCAGCAAUUAGAGGCAACUCCACGACACUAUAUCCAACUGGCGAGACAAUCGUGAAUUGAACGAUCGUGAAUCGCAGGAUGACUGCGCAUACCCGGCCAGGGGGUUGUUCCAGGAAACAUUACGUCAAAUCCCGGCUCGUUAAAGCGGUAUACAAUAAUCUGCGCGCCGCCAAUCCCGCCGGCGGCGCUCAAUUAAUUCUCCGGCAAAAUUUGUCGCUUGUAUUAAAUCUCUCUGGAUUAAAGGCAAUCUCGCUUCCGUCUUCCAA